rnacentral:rRNA from 1 species
UACAGAGGUCUCAAGCGUUGUUCGGAUUCAUUGGGCGUGAAGGGUGCGUAGGCGGCGCGGUAAGUCGGGUGUGAAAUCUCGGGGCUUAACUCCGAAACUGCAUUCGAUACUGCCGUGCUUGAGGACUGGAGAGGAGACUGGAAUUUACGGUGUAGCGGUGAAAUGCGUAGAUAUCGUAAGGAAGACCAGUGGCGAAGGCGGGUCUCUGGACAGUUCCUGACACUGAGACACGAAGGCCAGGGGAGCAAACGGG